rnacentral:rRNA from 1 species
UCUGGGCUGUAACUGACGCUGAGGAGCGAAAGCAUGGGGAGCGAACAGGAUUAGAUACCCUGGUAGUCCAUGCCGUAAACGUUGGGCACUAGGUGUGGGGGCCAUUCCACGGUUUCCGCGCCGCAGCUAACGCAUUAAGUGCCCCGCCUGGGGAGUACGGCCGCAAGGCUAAAACUCAAAGGAAUUGACGGGGGCCCGCACAAGCGGCGGAGCAUGCGGAUUAAUUCGAUGCAACGCGAAGAACCUUACCAAGGCUUGACAUGUUCUCGUUCGCCGUAGAGAUACGGUUUCCCCUUUGGGGCGGGUUCACAGGUGGUGCAUGGUUGUCGUCAGCUCGUGUCGUGAGAUGUUGGGUUAAGUCCCGCAACGAGCGCAACCAAAAAUAAUAUGUUGCCAGCACGUGAUGGUGGGGACUCAUGGGAGACUGCC